UGAGUAACGCGUGGGAAUCUACCUUUUGCUACGGAAUAACUCAGGGAAACUUGUGCUAAUACCGUAUGUGCCCUUCGGGGGAAAGAUUUAUCGGCAAAGGAUGAGCCCGCGUUGGAUUAGCUAGUUGGUGAGGUAAAGGCUCACCAAGGCGACGAUCCAUAGCUGGUCUGAGAGGAUGAUCAGCCACACUGGGACUGAGACACGGCCCAGACUCCUACGGGAGGCAGCAGUGGGGAAUAUUGGACAAUGGGCGCAAGCCUGAUCCAGCCAUGCCGCGUGAGUGAUGAAGGUCUUAGGAUUGUAAAGCUCUUUCACCGGUGAAGAUAAUGACGGUAACCGGAGAAGAAGCCCCGGCUAACUUCGUGCCAGCAGCCGC
rnacentral:rRNA from 1 species